rnacentral:rRNA from 1 species
GAAGCGCAUCUUUUUACCACUGAAUGUAGUGAUCAUCCUCUGGGUAUUGGAAUCUUUGGUUUUGCAAGUUCUUUCUUGAGAGAUACGGCUGUCAAUACCCCGCUAGAGCUUGAGGAGGAGGAUUUGCUUAUCACCUUUGUGCCGCAUAAUGAAGCUCUUAACAGACGCACCACCUCAUUUGGCCCAGAGAUUUGGUUGAUGUUUUUUGGAUUUCCUUACGAUUACCAAACAGACUACUACAUCACCAAGGCUUUAGGGGGUUAUGGAUCUCUUGUCAAUUGGUACAAUCCUCGCCAGGAUAGAUGGUACAUGCUCAUCAAAGCUCGCAUUAUCCGUCUGAAUCUCGUGCCCAAGAGUUUUAUUGUUUGGUAG